UACGAGGGGGGCAAGCGUUGUUCGGAAUUAUUGGGCGUAAAGGGUGCGUAGGCGGUUUGGUAAGUCUUAUGUGAAAUCUACAGGCUCAACUUGUAGUCUGCAUGAGAAACUGCCGGGCUUGAGUAUGGGAGAGGUGAGUGGAAUUCCUGGUGUAGCGGUGAAAUGCGUAGAUAUCAGGAGGAACACCGGUGGUGUAAACGGCUUUCUGGACCAUAACUGACGCUGAGGCACGAAAGCGUGGGUAGCAAACAGG
rnacentral:rRNA from 1 species